ensembl:snRNA U6 U6 spliceosomal RNA
AUACUUCAGUAGCACAUAUAAUACAAUUGGAACAAUACAGAGAAGAUUAGUAUGGCCUCUGCACAAGGAUGGCAUGCACAUUUGUAAAGUGUUCCAUAUUUUA